CGAGCUCGGAAGUCGCGUCACUACUUCCCGCGCUGUUAACUCUCAUGGACUGACAUUUGGCGUCGUCCAUGAAAACAGCAUGGGAAUUCCGUCAGCGGUUCUGGAUGGACAUUAGGUUUCAGCCGACCUGUGACCAAUGUCGCAAGCGAACUACCCCAGACCGACAGGACUGUCUUACUGUAAGUGGACAGAACCCUGGUCAGAUAUAUCUAGGAAGGUGGUCUGAGCUCUAGUUGGGUGAUUUGGCGUCUGGGGUAUCUGAAGCUGGAUAGAUUUAUGACAUUUCAGCUGCAUUAUUCACUCCUUUAACAAAGUUUUUAACCCUGACGAACACCAUUAUUGAGGUACAAGGACCUUUAUGGUUAUAUGUGGGGAUCCGAUAUCAUGUACCCCUCCGUGAUAGUCCUGAGGGGAACAUGUAAUCAUACUGAGUCAAGUGCUUCAUAUUGGCUGUUUCCGAGCUGGGGUUAAAUUCUCUUGUGACUGGAUGGAUGAGUGCAGCUGAACUAGAAUAAAUCUAUUUUUGCAACAGUACCUCUUGCGUCGGAAAGUCUGAUUAGGGUAAAGGUCAUCUGGUCCAGAAAGUCUGACUGACGGAAUAGGAUGGCCUGCCAGUCCCCGGAGGAGGAGGAGGCGCCGACCACGGCGCAGAGAUCGUCGCCCUUCCCGAUCUCCCCCGGAGGAGGCGCCGUCCAAGGCGCAGAGAUCGACGCCGUCAUCCCGAUCUCUUUCCAUAUGCCCCCGGUCCAUAUGAGGACACGGGGGACGUGCCUGGAAGUGGCACCGAGACACUGCCAUGUUUCGUGUUGGUUUGACUUUCUUCACACUGAGCCACAGUGUGGAGGCAGUCAAAAGGGCCGUGCUAAGGGCCCAAGGGUGUGACAUAGUGGCAGGUCUAUGUCGCCGUAGAGCGGGGAAAUUCCGUUAGGCAAGUACGAUGUUGGGUGCCACGACUUUGGACUCAUCUGAAGCAUUAGUGCCUUUUCCUGAAGGAGAUUGUCUAACGUCUCGGACAGUCACCUGGUCAGGGUUUUCAAAUGCGUGGAGUCUAACUCUAGAUGGAUGACUUAGCAAUGGAAAUAUUUGGAACUCAGUUGGUUUUGUCAUUUCUCAACUUCGAACUGUCCCUUCUUUGACAAUGCAUUUAAUUCCAAAUACAGACAUGAAUCUGACACGAGUAUGGCUUUACAGCAUCAUGAUUGGGAAGUCAGGCCUGUGCGGUCGGGCUUGAUGGACCAAUGGACCGCCAUGUGUGUUGUACUGCUCUGUAAAUCUUGUGCUGGAGGAUUGUUUGUGUCUGGACUUCUAUACAUUGUGAAAGAAUGGACAAAACUAGUUGGGCCAUGACUAAAUCUUCUUGAGGCUUCAUCUAUCUU